rnacentral:rRNA from 1 species
UACGUAGGGACCAAGCGUUGUCCGGAAUCAUUGGGCGUAAAGCGCGCGUAGGUGGCCAUUUAAGUCCGCUGUGAAAGUCAGAGGCUCAACCUUUGAAAGCCGGUGGAUACUGGAUGGCUAGAGUACGGAGGAGGCGAGUGGAAUUCCUGGUGUAGCGGUGGAAUGCGCAGAUAUCAGGAGGAACACCGGUGGCGAAGGCGGCAUCCUGGACCAUUACUGACACUGAGGCGCGAAAGCUAGGGGAGCAAACGGG